CUGAGAACUUAGCAGGGCCUGGACCAGCCUUGGUUCACGGAAACCAGGCUGCCUGUCUGGGUUUCCCUCCUGGGUCUCUCAGUUCCUUCAUCUGACAAGAGCACUAAGUGAGAAGAGAAGAACCCCACCCCCAAGUCACUGGCCCUUAUCGCACACUCCAAAAAGAAAAAUGGACAACAAUGAAAUGAAAAGGACCAGUUUGUCUGAGGUUCAAGCCUUUGCCAGCCUGGCUUAUGGCGAUUUAAGUGCAUAGUCUAAAUGGUGACUGCCA